GGACUACACCUCCAGAGCUGAAGCAUAAAAUAAGUCAUAUUCAACAUGCUUUUAAUCACAGGUAUUUCACAUAACAUGGGGAACCGUUUGAGCAAAUGAAAUAUGAUAUAAUUUCAAGCCUUAUCCUCAGCAGCUAGCUAUUCUACAAUUAACCAUUACCAUAUGAACUAUGAUAGUGGAUGACUUUGGAAAAUCCUGUAAGCAUUACCAUGUUGCCCACCAGAAAUCUAU
rnacentral:misc_RNA from 1 species